AGAACGGAACGCUGGCGGCAUGCCUAAUACAUGCAAGUCGAACGAACUCUUCGGAGUUAGUGGCGCACGGGUGCGUAACGCGUGGGAAUCUGCCCCUUGGUUCGGAAUAACAGUUGGAAACGACUGCUAAUACCGGAUGAUGACGAAAGUCCAAAGAUUUAUCGCCAAGGGAUGAGCCCGCGUAGGAUUAGCUAGUUGGUGAGGUAAAGGCUCACCAAGGCAACGAUCCUUAGCUGGUCUGAGAGGAUGAUCAGCCACACUGGGACUGAGACACGGCCCAGACUCCUACGGGAGCAGCAGUAGGGAAUAGUUGGACAAUGGG
rnacentral:rRNA from 1 species